CUUAUGAUCCUCCUGCUUCAAGCCUUCCAAGUUUCUGGGAUUACAGACUUGUUUCCAUUCUCAUGACUGAAUGGGCAACCCUGUAAUUUGUCGGCUACAUCCAUUUUUUUCCACCUCCUGGCAACAGUUUCGCUUCAGUUUCUGCCAAGAUUCCCUAUUGUCUCCAUAAGUUUCUGCCCAAGUCCGUAUGUCACAUCAUCUGGAAAAUCAAUUCUGCGGCGUUACUCUCCCCAACUAUGACACUGGAAAAUGGCAACAACCAUGAAACGGAUCCCUCCUUGAUGUGGAAGCUGAAGCCCAGAAGGCCUGACUGACUCACAGACCUCAUAGUCACCUGAGAAUUGACAACCUGGAACUUUUGGAUGAGAUCAUAGGAAUUACCUAAUCUGAAGUGCCAUCUCCUUAAGCCUAUAUCUGAAAGAGCAGCCACUGCAUACUGAACCUGCAAAUCUAAGAGGACACCAGGGAUCUAGAAGUUUGGAUCUUUAAAAAAGGAUUUGCUGACUUCUGCUCUAGGACAUUGUCCUUGUCUGUGGCUGAGGCUGGGUUAUGGGCAUGUGCAUGUUCCAGCUCACCAAGAGGAAGGAAAAUGAAUAUGAGAAUACAGUUUCCUUUUAAGAUGGAAGUUAUACAUGUCACUUCAGCUCACAUGCCAAUGGUAAGAAGUGGGUCGGGAAAGCAUAUCUAGAUGCAAAGGUAACUGGGAUGUUUUGAGGCAGUUGGGUAAUCAUACACCCCACUUAAACCAUAUCACUUUGGAAUAAA